UACGGGGGGGGCAAGCGUUGUUCGGAAUUACUGGGCGUAAAGGGCUCGUAGGCGGCCAACUAAGUCAGACGUGAAAUCCCCAGGCUCAACCUGGGAACUGCGUCUGAUACUGGAUGGCUUGAAUCCGGGAGAGGGAUGCAGAAUUCCAGGUGUAGCGGUGAAAUGCGUAGAUAUCGGGAGGAACACCUGCGGUGUAGACGGCUUACUGGACCAUAACUGACGCUGAGGCACGAAAGCGUGGGUAGCAAACAGG
rnacentral:rRNA from 1 species